rnacentral:rRNA from 1 species
CAUGGAGUUUGAUCCUGGCUCAGAUUGAACGCUGGCGGAAUGCUUUACACAUGCAAGUCGAACGGUAGAGGGGGCAACCCCUCGAGAGUGGCGAACGGGUGAGUAAUAUAUCGGAACGUGCCCAGUCGUGGGGGAUAACGUAGCGAAAGUUACGCUAAUACCGCAUACGAUCUAAGGAUGAAAGCGGGGGAUCGCAAGACCUCGCGCGAUUGGAGCGGCCGAUAUCAGAUUAGGUAGUUGGUGGGGUAAAGGCUCACCAAGCCACGAUCUGUAGCUGGUCUGAGAGGACGACCAGCCACACUGGGAACUGAGACACGGUCCCAGACUCCUACGGGAGGCAGCAGUGGGGAAUUUUGGACAAU